GUUAAGCUCAGAAAUUUUUCCCUAAUAAAAUAAGGGAAGGGGAGAAGCAUAUUUUAAUGUUAAGAAUAGGUUUGUAGAGGCAUAAAGUGCCAUUAGCCUAUUGAAUGUAAGUAUCUGGGCUAUUAAGUUUAUACUGAAAUAUUUUCUAUGUAUGUAAUAUUUCAACAAACACAUAUUGUAUUAAUUAAUGGUCAAAUACUAAAUUGAGAUUUUAUAAAAACAUUUUAUAAGCUGUAAAGCUUGUCAAUUUGUUUACUUUAUUACAACUACAAUUUUUCAGCCCUUUUCCAGAAUUUGAACUAAUUUGAUCAUAAAGAUUGAUCUAUUUAUAAUUUAUCGAUUACAAUUUUUAGACAAUUAAAGCUGGUUAAAGGAACUUUUAUUUUGGAAAAAGAACUGCUGCUGUUUCAAGACAUGCGCACUAGCUGCGACAUCUAGUGACGACAUUUACCGGGCUUUAACGGUUGUAGCUGCAUGAAGUCUGCUGCAAUUUCUCUGAGAUUUCUCAAGAUCAUCAGUUUGGACAGAAUUCAUUUGAAGAAUUAAUAGCACUAGCAGGUUCCAAUAAAGGCUGGAACAGAACAGACAGAAAAGAUGGUGAAGUAGAAAAGUUCGUAAAAACUUCUGCAGCUUGCAUCUGACAGAGAUGCAAAAAGAAUAAGAGAGCGGGCCUGAAAACAAGCAAAUUCAAGUCUUUCCUUCUUUUAGGGUACACUUGAGGAGUGUCCAGAUGUUUAUUAAUGUUUUAUUAAUGUAAUGUUAUGUUUCAAAUAAACAUGUAAACAUACUGUAUAUUUUUCUUUUUUUUUUAAACACCUACAGUAAAGUGUGACACUUAACACAUUAAAAGCAUCACAAACAUUGAGGAUAGAACUUCUAAUGUGCAGUUUAACUUUUUUUAACUAAAUAUAAUAAAAGUUUUUUUAAGAAGGGAUAAGUACAUGCCAUCUUAAGGGCUAAGGUUAUAAAAUAUUGUUUUGUGGAAAAAACACUUUAAAAAAAAAUUCGGGCUAGUUUCGUCUGAGUGUACAGUUUAAGCUGGCAUGAUUCUGGCACUUUGCUGGCAGUGUCGGCUGACUUUAAGCACCCGGACAUUGGCCAGUUUUGGCUGAGUGUACAGUUUUAGCUGGCGUGAUUCUGGCACUGUGCUGGCAGUGCCGGCUCACUUUAGGCACCCGGACAUGGGCCAGUGUACUUGGGCCGAUUCUGGGGCGUCAUUCA